rnacentral:rRNA from 1 species
ACAGAGGGUGCAAACGUUGUUCGGAAUUGCUGGGCGUAAAGCGUGUGUAGGCGGCUAAGUAAGUCGGAUGUGAAAGCCCCGGGCUCAACCCGGGAAGUGCACUCGAUACUGCUUAGCUUGAGUAUCGGAGAGGUUGGUGGAAUUCUCGGUGUAGAGGUGAAAUUCGUAGAUAUCGAGAGGAACACCGGUGGCGAAGGCGGCCAACUGGACGAAUACUGACGCUGAGACACGAAAGCGUGGGGAGCAAACGGGA